rnacentral:rRNA from 1 species
AUGGCCAUACCAUGCUGAAUAUAUCGGUUCUCGUUAGAUCACCGAAGUCAAGCAUCAAUGGGCGCGGCAGUACAUGGGUGAGUGCCCACCUGGGAACAUCGCGUGCCGUU